CGAAGGGGGCUAGCGUUGUUCGGAAUCACUGGGCGUAAAGGGCGCGUAGGCGGCUUAUCAAGUCGGGGGUGAAAGCCCGACUGGCUCAACCACGGAAUGGCCUUCGAUACUGGUAGGCUUGAGACCGGAAGAGGACAGCGGAACUGCGAGUGUAGAGGUGAAAUUCGUAGAUAGUUCGCAAAGAAUCACCAGUGGCGAAG
rnacentral:rRNA from 1 species